GAAUCGGAGGGGGACCCUCCCAUUCUCACCCUUUGCAUACUAAACUUCGUUGCUUCGGCACUGCAGCAAUGCACGCCGAAGGCCCAAAACCCUUGAAUCAUGAUGUCUGAGUAAAUAUUUAAUAUUUAAAACUUUCAACAACGGAUCUCUUGGUUAGACCAUCGAUGAAGAACGCAGCGAAAUGCGAUAAGUAAUGUGAAUUGCAGAAUUCAGUGAAUCAUCGAAUCUUUGAACGCACAUUGCGCUCUCUGGUAUUCCGGAGAGCAUGCCUGUUCGAGCGUCAUUACAACCCUCACGCUCCGCGUGGUAUUGGGCUGGCCCCUCUGGGCCUGCCUCAAAGUCAGUGGCGGUUACUGUCCAAUGCCUAAACGUAGUACUUACUAAUCGUUUCUGGCCCGGGCUGUAUCCUGCUAAGCACCCCCACACUUUUUAAAGGUUGACCUCGGAUCAGGUAGGGAUACCCGCUGAACUUAAGCAUAUCAAUAGGCGGAGGAA
rnacentral:rRNA from 1 species